rnacentral:rRNA from 1 species
UACGUAGGGUGCAAGCGUUGUCCGGAAUUAUUGGGCGUAAAGAGCUCGUAGGCGGUCUGUCACGUCGGCUGUGAAAUCCCGAGGCUCAACCUCGGGUCUGCAGUCGAUACGGGCAAGCUAGAGUAUUGCAGGGGAGACUGGAAUUCCUGGUGUAGCGGUGAAAUGCGCAGAUAUCAGGAGGAACACCGGUGGCGAAGGCGGGUCUCUGGGCAAUAACUGACGCUGAGGUGCGAAAGCGUGGGGAGCAAACAGG